GCCUCCACCUCUCUCGGUCGAGAUCGUCCCGGCGACCCGGCCGGCUGGCUGGCCAGGCCCAUUUGUCGACCGGCCCACAGGGAUGGCCGUCUUCGCCCUGGCGAAACUGGCCGCUAGCGCGUGCACGCUCGUACGCAUCAUCAGACUUGUACUCCUACUGCUAUGGGCGGACCAUAUUAUACGUUGAUUGUGUAGAUAUGCUGAUAUAGAGUAUUUUAUGAUUUUUCUGUAAUUUAUUAUGGUUUUUUUAACAUUUAUCCGAAAUAAAUAAAAAAAAGAAAAAGACAAAACUUUCGUAGCAAAAUUUUUUUACUAAAGCAUACCAUGUUAUAUGUUCAUUAUGUAGAUCUACUCAUGUUGAGUCCAGUAAAGUUAUAUUUUUAUUUUAUGAUUUUUCUGUAAUUUACUAUAUUUUUUCAAAGAUUUAGCCAAACUAAAUAAAAAAGGAAAAAAUAUUAAACCACUAUCACUGUAGCAAAAUCACCUUUCACUAUAGUAAAACCGUCUUCAAAACCGUUCCAGAGAGAUAAAAUGCACGAUUUGAAAAAUUGAGGAAAAUAGUUUACACAGUUUUGAAGGUAAGGAAGAAAAACGGACUAUCGUGAAAACUAGUUGAAGAAAAAUACACUUUUACCUAUCUUCGAGGCCCAUUACGCGGAGUACCAUAUCUAGGCCAACCAUAGGCCACCGACCAAUUUGGCACCCAUUCAUUACCACACCACAUAUAUGCUUCAUCUUAAUGGCACUAUUAGGUCUAUUUGGCUGGGCUUUUCUUUGGCGGCUUUGGUUUUUUUUAUAAAAGCAUUGCCAGACGUUUUUAUGGAGAAAUCGUUUUUGAGUAAAAAAUUAAAGAAGCUGGAGCCGUUUUGACGAAGCCAUAAUUCGUGGCUUUGUUAAAACAACUACGGCUCCUCUAGAGAAGCCUCUCGUGAAGGGUCCUGCCAAACAGACCCUUAUUAGAGGCUAACAUUCUUAGUGGUUCUAGUACACAUAAAGUGAUCCACAUAGACUAAUAAAUAUUAAAAAAUAUUAUUCAAACAAUGCAAACUAUCAUUACUUGUGGUUUGUAAAUAAUUUUUUUUCUUUCAUCAUGCCUCACUUUUAUUUCUUCUUCCUUUUUAGCAUUGACUACAUUUUCUCUCCCUAAGCAUAUGUACUUCUGUAAGUCACUAUAAUAAGUUUAGAGCACUCACUUUUUUUAUCUGAUCCAUAACACUUGAGGCUCGUGGUAACCACCUCCGCAUCCUCCACGGCCAUCAUCCUCCGUGCAAAGGCGAAGGCAAAGGGUUUCACGCGUGAGGUGUAGACAGUUUUUUUUUUUUUUUUUUUUUUUUUUUUUUUUUUUUUUGAGUGGAAGUGAGGUGUAGACAGCUAGUUCUCACUUCACGCCAUUGCCAUCCCCAACUCACAGCACCGCUCCACGGAUCAGGAAUGAUCCUAGGCCCAGCCCAAUAAAGAAAUAUAGCUGAACUGGCCCAGGGUCUUCUUCAGACAGGCCCUUUCUCUUUUUGAGCUAAGGAAAAAGUCCAUAUUAUCUCAUAAACUUUUACGAAAAUUCACUUCUCCUCCUUGAACUCCAACCUGAGCAAAACACCUCUCAACUUAAUUUUAAAACCGUUCAUCUUACCUGGCCAUGUUAUAAGCAGUUUUAAAGAUGUUCUUGUUCUUGUUCUUUUUUAUUUAUUUUGACUGAUUUUUUCAGAAAUCAUAGUAAAUCAUAUAAAAAAUCAUAAAAUAGAAAAUCUAAUUUUAUUGGAAUCCACAUGAGUAGAUCUACAAUAAAUAUAUAUUAUGAUAUGCUUUACUACAAAGUUUUUGCUGUAUUUUAGAUAUAAGCUUUUUUGAAAUUAAAUGAAAUAAUUCAUAGAUGUUGUUUCUAUGGUUAAAUUAUGGUGAAAUUUUUAUAGUGAGAUAACUAUUAUAUGCUUAAAUCGUAGUAAAAGUUUCAUACUCAUUGG
rnacentral:lncRNA from 1 species